GGAGAAAGGAUAAGAUCUGGGGAGAGCGAGGGAGAUGGCGUUUGCGAACAAGCGGAGGAUAAUGCUGUAUUUGCUGCGUGAAGCGGAGGUAAGGAAACACGGCUAAUAUAUCUGGGAUGCGCAGAGGGCUGGAUGCAUGUUUCAUCGACCAGUGAAAGCAUGGAAAUCGGAGACUAAUCGCCCACAGAGCUUGCAAUCUCACCUUUCUUACUAUUAAAGGAAUCACGUUUUGCAUCAUUCCUGUGUAAUUUUUAUUUUUAAUAAGUGAUUUUAUUACAAGCAUUUCUACGUGUAUAUGUGCUAUACGGUAUACUGUACAUAUCAAAUAUUGUUUGUCUUGUGCUCUCUCAAGUUGUGCAUUUCCAAUUUUGCUCCCCCACCCCUCCUUCCUCCCCCCAGGUCUGCGCAUGAAGAUGCCCAUUGCAGGGCCCCCCGGAUUAAAUGAAAGGAGAUCUGGGAUCGCCCGCUUUUCUUGGAAUAUGGGGAGUUUGGGGUGGGGGUGGGGGUGUCACAUGCGCUGCAGUGUCCGGCAAAAAUGCGCGGCGCUGCUGUGAUUCUUCUUGCAAGUAGUUAAAGGUGUGUCUAUAUAUAUAUAUAUGUGUGUAUGUAUGUGUGAAUGUUUGUAUAUAUAAAUAUGUGUGUGUGUAUUUGUGUAUAUAUAUGUCUGUGUGUGUUUGUAUCUAUACAUUUAUAAAUAUAUGUGUGUGUAUUUGUGUAUAUAUAUAUCUCUGUGUGUGUUUGUAUCUAUAUAUAUAUAUAUAUAUAUAUGUGUGUGUGUGUUUGUACAUAAAAUACGCACACCUAUAUAAAAUGUUUUUUUGAUGGAAGUGCAGGUAUUUGCUAACUUUGGAUAGGAAACUACAUCUCUCCUGAUUCCCCCCUCCUCCUCCCAUCGCUCCUUUGAGUUUAGUGCAUACCAGAUGACAGACUGAGCUCCGUUUGAUCGUUUCCUUGACAUUCAGCCAGGAGGCAGAGAGGCCCAGCAUCCGAGCGUGCAGGGUCUGUGUGUGCGCGCCGCACAUACUGAAUGCCUGAAUAAUAACAGAUCUUCGCCGUUGCUAGGUUAUUGCACCUUAAAGUGCUUUCGCUGAAGGAUGUUAAAAUCCGUGUGCCUUCAAUAAUUCUUAUCCCAAUGGCUCCAGAGGGAGAAUAUCCUGCUUUAUCAUCAUGGUGAGUUUAAAUCUGAGUUACUAUUGAACCAUGACGCUUUGGAUCUCCCAGCCUGAACUUUUAAUCCCCCAAAAAACCUGAAGGCAGCCACUACGAGCUGAGCGCAGAACGUGUUUCCAUAGUGGUUAAAUUGUGCACUAAAAAUUUAUUUUUUUCAGCUUUUAGAAGUUUCGUUGUCAUUCCCAGUGUAUUUGCAUGACAUUCUCUUCCCCCCCCCUCCCCACCUCCCCUUGUAACCCUUUCCCUCCCCAUUAACCCCGUCACCCUGUGCAAUGUGCUGCUGUGUCCUCUGGCAGAUAUGGAGUUAAAUACAAUUCUGAAUGUGACAUUGCACCUUCCUGUCUAUGUACCCCUCUCAAUCCCUGAGACCCUAACUUGUGAUGUUUGGCGUUUAAAAUCCACGGGUUAGGCUCUUGGGAGCUGCGAGGUGUGCGUGUGCUUCUGGAAUGGAGAGCAGACUGGGAUCAGGAGAGUCUGACGCUCUACGAGUAGGGGAGGCCUUGGGUUUAGGGAGCUCUGUGAUUAUUAACAUAACCUUUGCCAUCUGAAAAUACCACCUGUCAACUUUUCCCCAACUUUUCCCAACUUGUGAUUUACUUCUGCGGAGCAUAAUUUAUUUGUCUGGAAAAAAAAAUUGUGAAGGGGGAGAUAACAAAAGCAGUGGGUGUAAAAUAUUCAUGAGGAGCAGCGAUACAAUAGAUCGAGCGCCUGGUGAGGACUUGUUACCUCCUUUUUUUUUUUUUUUUUUUUUAAUUCUUUCUUUGAGAGCAGAGCAGAGUACCCAGAGGCGUAGACUAAAUCGCUCGGUACAUUGCGGCCUGACCUCAUAGUAUCUCAUCUGAAUUCCCAGCAUGCCUCAUACCUGCCAUUAAAGAAUCAAACUGUUUUGUUCAGAAAAUUGCAAGAGAACAGAAAACCUGCCUUUACUGCUCCCGUAAUACUGCUGUGUAUUCUGUCUGAUAAAUAAAUCCACUCCAUCUUCUCUGAUUUUGUUCGUGGUUAAAAUACCUGCUAUGCGCACCUCACAGGAGACCGUAAGCAUCAAUCCAACACUGUGAGCUUUACAAUGCGACAAAAUGUCUUGAUUUUAUUAACAAAAAAUAAUAAUAUGCUUUGCUCCCAAAAUCACUUCUUUAUUGCAGGAAGAAUAACCUAAAAUGGCUGCCAUCACUACCCAGGUUACUGACGCUUCAGAUAGACACUAAGGUUUUCUCAGAACAAGUGAGGGUUUCCGUAAGAUGAUCCGAAUAAUGUAAAUGAUGUUGGCUAAUAACUUGCAACACCUAUUUCCUUCUUAUUAAUAAAAUUGAUGGAGAGAUUGUAGUACAAAGGUGGCGUUGUAACACAUGUUAAGCAGCGCAAUUUGUGUUGACUUUUGCAGCCUUGAAACUUCAAACAAAAAUGUACGCCUGUUUAUACGUAAUAAAUUAUCGUGUUCUGUUCUUCGGCAACAUUUAAUGUUGGUGGAUGUACAUGUAGAAUAGAGGGGGAAGUUAGUCAGUAAAAUUAGAAUUGCUCCUUUUUCUUUUUUUUUUUUUUGACCAAAUUGGAAAAACUUUACUAUUUGGUUCUAAAAAUCCACAACUUCAAAUUAAGUGAGUAAACAUCAAUAUGUUGAAGUAAAAGUAGCCAAAGUAUCAGGAGCCGGUCUUUUAGUAAAGCUCUGAGGAGGAGGCUUGGAACCUUAACGUCUUGGUAAAGGCCUUGGAUACAGUUUAGUAAUGAAUGAUCUGCAGAUAUCACUGACCCUUUUUUCUUUCUUUUUUUUUUAAAUCUAAUUUUUCUUUUUUGCAUAUUUGCACCUGGCAAUGUGAUAUGGUUUGAAAUAAUGCAUGAUGCUACUGUAAUAUUCUUAAAGAGAAACUACAUGUAUAAUACUCUAUUUAUUAAUCCAAUACAUUUAACAAAUAAUGUGUUUGUGAAAAAUGAAAUGUAAAAAUUCAUAUGGGCAUAUUUACUUCUCUCCUAAAUUGGGCGCCUCCAUCUUAGCUCCCUGCCAACCAUUGCUGCAAGCUCUGUCCUUUACACUUGACAGGAACAAUUUUUCAAUUUCUUGUCCCCAUUUGAAAUUUGUGCCUUGGCUGUGCCAGGGCUGUACUGGAUUGUGAUGUAAUUUGUUUAAUCUUCAGUUUAAAUGAAAACCACAUCUCAUAAAAAAAGAAAAGGUUAAUACUAGUUGUAUGUGAUUUUUGAUGUUUUAUUAAAUUUAUAUAAUAUCAUACAAUUUCCAGAGAGAGGUAUUUUCUUCGUUUAAAAGGUGAAAGGGCUUCAUUUAGGUCCGUAUUUGUAUAAUGACCGGGAUCCAUGUGUUUGCAUUUCUAUGAUUUGGAAUCCUGUAUUGCUGGAGGCAAGCACUGUAAUUGUUUUAAUUGUAUAUUUCUACAUAUUUUUUUUUUAAUUACAAUGUUUGGGAUGUGAAAUAACAUGAUUUCAUAAUUUGUUACUUCCUAGUUUGAAUGAUACAUCGUUCUUUAGUUUAUAGUCUGUUAUAUCACAAUAAAACAUGGUUAUUCACUAAACAUUUUAGCACAUUUUAAUCCGAAAGGCAAAACGGAGGCUAAAAUAGUCAAACUGGGACAAUAACCGUAUCAGAGAUUGUUUCCAAAGCAGCUUUUUUUUUUACUUAACUUUUGCCUUUGGAUUUCAUUUGCUGAAAUGAGCGGUUUAGUGAGUUGAGCGGCGUUUGGCCUGGCCAUUUGAAAUUCUCUUUAAUUAGUGCCUGUAUAGUGUGACCAGGCAGGAGCCGUAGAGGAAAACUCCUCAAUACUGAUAUAACGUAGAUCUGAUUUUGUAGUUAUUAACACUGGAGCAAUGUUAGUGCUGGUGUGGGUGUAUGUAUAUGGAUCACAUGAUCAGGACUUUCCUUCUUGAGCGAAUUAAUUGAAUAAAGUUUGAAGUUGAAAUUUAUUUUCGAGUAACUCAUUGUGCACAAAGUGUGUCGUGAUAUGUACUAACACUGCUUAGAGAAACAAAAUAGUGACCAUCAAACAUAGAAGGGUGAACUAAAGGGAAGAGAUGAGAAGAGGUAAUGAUGAGGGGAAGAACAAAUCUAAGAUUCGAGAAUGGGUAGAGAAAGGCAUGCAGAAAAAAGCAAUAGUGAGUGAGCUCUUAAGAGGAGAGAAUAAGAAUAUGGUUUAUCUGGUAAAAUAACACCAUCAGAAAGUCAUUGCCAGCUGUCUAGGACAGCGGGUGGCAACCUUAGGCACUCCAAAUGUUGUGGGCUACAUCCCCCCUGUACUAGCAUUAUGGAUGUAAGAGCACGAGGGUUGUAGUCCACAACAUCUGGUGUGCCAAGGUUGGUUACCCAUGCCAUUGCCGGCUGUCUAGGGGGGAGCAAUGCAGACACGGUCAGCCAUUGCCGGCUGCCUAAGUGGGGAGCGAUGCAGAUGUGGUCAGCCAUUGCCGGCUGUCUAGGUGGGGAGCGAUGCAGAUGUGGUCAGCCAUUGCCGGCUGUCUAGGUGGGGAGCGAUGCAGACACGGUCAGCCAUUGCCGGCUGUCUAGGUGGGGAGCGAUGCAGACACGGUCAGCCAUUGCCGGCUGCCUAGGUGGGGAGCGAUGCAGACACGGUCAGCCAUUGCCGGUUGCCUAGGUGGGGAGCGAUGCAGAUACGGUCAGCCAUUGCCGGUUGCCUAGGUGGGGAGCGAUGCAGACACGGUCAGACAUUGCCGGCUGUUUAGGUGGGGAGCGAUGCAGACACGGUCAGCCAUUGCCAGCUGUCUAGGUAGGGAGCGAUGCAGACACUGUCAGCCAUUGCCGGCUGCCUAGAUGGGGAGCGAUGCAGACACUGUCAGCCAUUGCCGGCUGUCUCGGUGGGGAGCAAUGCAGACACAGUCAGUGGUCCAGAGAGUGAGUAGAAUUAUGUAAUUUUUCUGCGUGUUUUUAUUAAAAAAAAUUUUAGGCUUCUUACAGGUGUCUUAAAAAUAACACCAGGGAAGUAACCCAAGGCUGUGGGACACGGGUGCCAAAUCAGGACUGUCACCUGAUUGGGAGGCACUUUGGCAUUAUGGAAUUUUGAGUUGUUUUUGCUGGGCAGUUUAGGGAUAAAUAAAUGGUAAAUGAAUUAAAUGCGUCAAAGUAUACAUUUUCUAAAGUGGACAUCUCUGAGAAAUUCACAUAAGAAAUGUAACCACCUACCCACUUACAUUACGAUGUAUGUAAUCAGGGAAAAGGAGAGUGGAAAUUAAAUGACAUCAGUGAUUCACACAGAAAAGUUGGAAAAUUCUUACAUUUUAAACUAUGUUCCCAAAGAUCCCGCAUUCACACUGAGCAUUUAUUUUUAUCUUCAUUGUUUUCAUGUUAGGAAGGUUGAACUUGAUGGACACACGUCUCUAUGUAACAUGCUCAUACUGUGCCGUGUUCGUAUUCUCCAUACUUUACCGGUAUGGUAGUUAAACCGCCUAGUAUUUGUAAAUGAUAUGCACAGAAAAAGAAGACAUGACAAUCUAAUUGGCUAUAUCUAAUAUUUUCCACUUUUCUUUUUUUUUUAAACCGCCCAUAGUGUAUGUAUUGUCUUUAAUAAUCAUUCGGUAAAGGUGAUCUAGUCAUACAGUGUUAUAGUCACUGCUUCAUCUCACUGAAGUGGUUAUAGUGUCUGAAGUCCCCUGGUGCUGUCCUUCCAUCAAUGUUAACUUGUUGUUUUAAUGCUACAUUAGUCCCCAGCAGCCGAUCCCCUCUGUUCUGCUUGUACUAAUGUUGAAGCACUAGCCUGACCAGCAAUGGGCGGCUGAGACAAGUGAACUAAUUCAAUGAGAUGAAAUAGUUAUAGUGCCUACACCGUACCUUUAAUGAAGUGAUGCGCUGACAAUGGAUCCAUAACGCUGUAUUGGCAAUUGCAGCAAUGUUUACACAGCCAUAAUUCAGCCCCUUAAAACUGUCUCUCAUGCCUGUGUCUGUUUUACGCAGCUUGGGCUGUUUACUGGACUGCGCAUGCACAGAAUCCAGUGACGUGAAUCACUAAACAUGAAUAAACCAAGAGCCACUACAUUGUGGCUGUUAUCACUUUAGAAAAUACUUCCAAUCAUCUUAUGACAUGAGCGGAACUGUUCAUUGAGGAUAAACGAAUAGCCCCAUAAAUGUUUCCUGAGCCAAGAUUGUCGGGUAAGAAUGAGGCACUCCCUGUGGGGGGGCUGCAGGCAGUCCUACUAAACAGUGAUUACACAUUUUUUUUCCUUUAAUUUUUAAUGGAUUAUCUUUAUAAAGACAUGGCGUGAGCAUGUUACAGGUUUGAUUAUAAAAAAAUUCAAAAUCCUGUAUUUUAACUGAUACUGAGAGUUAAUUAUUGAUUUGUCCUUUUGAUGGCACGGAGACAUUUAACCCCUUAAGGACACAUGACAUGUGACAUGUCAUGAUUCCCUUUUAUUCCAGAAGUUUGGUCCUUAAGGGGUUAAGUCAAUUUCUUGGUCCAGGGGUCUUUUCUUCCCAUCUUUCCAAUUUUUAUUCACAGAUAGUUCAACCUUUACGCAGUCGAAUGCUUGGAAGGAGAGUUACUAAUAGAACCAUUUGGGAACAUGUAUCGGACGUGAUGUGUUUAGCUGAGUUUCUGGAAAAGUCCUGUGAUAAUACUACGUGCUAUCUUUUUGGUAUAAAUCCUGCGCUGUCUGGAUAUUUACUGUAUUGAUUGGACGGAGCCUGAAGGUGUCUGUGUCCCAGUAACAGUGACCUGCGGCUGCUUUGUAUGUCUGGCGCUGUCACUUUAUUUGCUGUCACUGUUUCCAUGGGGAAUGGAUCGCAGACCUUUCUUGUCUGCGCACUAACAAACCAUUGCUGAUGCACCAGUCGCGUUUUUUUUUUAUUCCGUUUCUCUGUAUGGGAAAAAUUCUUUAUUUGGAAAAUUAAUUCAUUAUCGCAUUGUCUACAUUUUCACAUAGGUAGCAGAUUGUGACUAUUCAUUAUCGCUUUUUUUUCUCUUGCAGUUUAUAAUUCCAUUCUUUAACAAAAAAAAAUGAAAAACUGUAUAGAGCGAGAUUCAGUCGAUUCCCCAAUCUCUCUCAUUUCCUUGUUUUGUGUUUUGCAAUAGGUUGCAUUCCCUUAAUUUAAAAUAAUAAAAUAGUAAUUUAUGCUUUUGACACAUGUAUCAGUGUAAUUCCCUUAUAAGCAGAUUUGUACUUUACCUCGAUCACAAGGUCCCCUUGAGGCAAAUUAUGAAAUAUAAUCUUUGCAUUAUGCUAUGUAUUUUUUGCCAAAAUUAGCAGAUGUAUAAACCAAAGGUAUACUAUAGGCAUCAAAACAACUUCAGCUUAAUGAAGCAGUUUUAGUUUGUAGAUCAGAUGUGUCCAACUUGCGGCCCUGUACUGCUUGUAAUGUGGUCCAGUUGCCUUCCGGGCAGCCUGGCAGUGAGGGCGGCAGGGAACCAAUUACAUACUGUGCUCUUUCUGCACAGCUCCUUUGCGUGCCCUGCAGUGAGUUGGCGGCUGGGUAUGAUGUCAUUCCAGCAUUGGCAUCACUAAGCAGCAACCACUAGCCAACAGGGAGAGCAUCCUCUCCAGCCCUCCCUAAGGUUCCUAAUUUCUAAAUGUGAUUUUUGUGUGUGUAUGCCAGUGAUAGUGUGUAUGUGAUUGAUUGUGUAUGUGUAUAUAUCUGAGUAUGUCUAUGUUAUUUAUAAAAUAUUUUACCAGGAAAGAUACAUUGAGAUUUCUCUCAUUUUCAAGUAUGUCCUGGGUGAACAUGUAUGGGAUUGUAUGUGUAUACCUGUAAUUAUACUUUUGAUUGUUUUGUAUUGAGUGUCUCAAGCAUUACCCGGUUGUGUGAAAUGUGUUUUUAGAAAGAAAGAAAGAAAAAAACACCUUAGACACAACUGGGUAAUCCCUAAAUCCUGCACUGUUAGAGAUACUUGAGGACUGUGUUGGGAACCACUGGUCAAGAAGGUGAUUAACAAAGCUGGAGAUAAGCAAUUCUAAAUUAAACCGACUGUACAAUAAAGUAACCUAGUCUAUCUAGGUUACUUUUCAGGACUUGUUUGGGAAAGCUGUGUAAGUCACAUGCAGGGAGGUGUGAUACGGGCUGUAAAAACAGUGAUUUAACGCCUAAAGUGUCCACACUGUGCAGCACAGACGUUCAGCGUCUCCACUCUGUCCAUGGAGAUGCUGAAUGCUUGAUAUAAAGAUUCAGUGCAUCUCAGAGAAGAUGCUGAUUGGCUCAGUGCAGGGUUAUAGCCUCCCAAUGUUUCUCCACUGGAUUGGCCGAGAUCAUCAAGUUUAAUGAUCUCAGCCAAGGUGGCGAAGCAAGCUGCCAGAAGACCCGCGCAGCGCUAGGUUAAGGUAAGUAAAAUCACCUUUUUAACGGGACAAGGGAGGCCGGUCACCUGAACAGCUAUUUAGACCUAUAGUGUCAGGAAUACAUAUCUGUAUUCCUGACCCUAUAGUGUUCCUUUAAAUAAAUAAAAAGCUGUGGUUAUAUCAAAAUAACACAAAAAGAAAAUAUUUUGAAUAUACAUUUAUUUUCUUUUGUUUUAGUAAUAAAACUGUACUAGACCAUAUAUACAUUUUUCUGUCUUAUCUACAAUGCACCAACAUAAUAAAUUUUUCACACUUUCUGUUCCUUUUGCAAUUUUUGCUCCUAAAGAUUUUCCUGGGAAGCUAACAAGUUGUAGUGCUGCUCCCACUAGUUUGUUGUAGAGAUGCAUUCGUUUUUCUUCUUUUAAGCUUGCUGCAGCCACUCAUACUCGGGGCAGCAGCAGCAGCACAGUUUGUCUCACAAGAAUGGUGAUGUCACUUAGUGAGUGUGAGGUCUUUUAAUUGCAUCGGUGUAAACUGUGCAGUUAGAUCGGGGGUUUCCAUGAAGUACAGAUAGGCAUGGUGCGUGGAGUGUCCUUUUUAAACCACAAAUUCACAAUUUUCUAUUUGCAUGACAGACACUAUAUGAAUUUCCAUAUUCUGGGCUGAAUGUCUGGGUGCCCCAGUCUUUGUUCCUUGUCGCCUGCGCCCAGCGAGCGGUGGGGUGAAGUGGCUGCUAAUUGAGGGGUUCACCAUGAGCUCAUAUUAGUUUGAGUAGGCGCGACAUGUAUUGAAAACACCAGCAAUGCACCUGGAUUCUCAAGCGGGGGAUAUUUGCUUAAUUAGCAGGAAUUCAAGGGCCAGCUAAGGAAUUUCCAUUGAGUAAGUUCAUGCAGAAGGCAAUUACCGCAGGACGAUGGAAAUCCAGCGCAGUUUGAAUGCUGUUGUUUAUGAAACUUUUCAUCUUGACAAGUAAAUCUCGUUAUUAUGAUUUCUUUCUCGGCUCAGUUCGGUGCCCAAACAAUGCUCUCUUUCACUAAUUGUAGAGAUGGUAGGAAUAUGUUAUGUUCUCAGGGCUUGAAUAUGGUUAAUUUAACCUGAAGAUCACUUUUAGCUCAUUCAAAUCUCAAAUAAAAUCAGAGGAUUUCAGACUGUCUGUUAUUGUAUGUAUAUUGUGCAGUGUAUAUAAUAUAUACUUCUAGAUACACUCAAUGGAUUGAAAUAAAUGUUCCCAUAUUCUGUUAUAUUCAGAGAUAAAUGUUCUGGUACUCUGCUAUAUUCAGAGAUAAAUGUUACUCUCCUGUUUUUUUUACUAGGGUAAUAAUAUUGCUUGCUCUCUCUCCUAUAUUGGGAAAAACUGUUCUUGUACAAUACUGAUAGGAAUAAAUAUUCUGGGACUGUACUAUAGGGGGAAAAAAGGUUCCGGUAUUCUCCUAUACUGGGGGAAAAACAUGUUAUGGUCUUCUCCUAUACUGGGGGAAUAAAGGUUCCGAUCCUCUCCUAUACUGGGGGAAUAAAGGUUCUGGUCCUCUCCUAUACUGGGGGAAUAAAGGUUCCGAUCCUCUCCUAUACUGGGGGAAUAAAGCUUCGGUACUCUCCUAUACUGGGGGAAUAAAGGUUCCGAUCCUCUCCUAUACUGGGGGAAUAAAGGUUCUGGUCCUCUCCUAUACUGAGGGAAUAAAGGUUCCGAUCCUCUCUUAUACUGGGGGAAUAAAGGUUCAGGUCCUCUCCUAUACUGGGGGAAUAAAGGCUCCGGUCCUCUCCUAUACUGGGGGAAUAAAGAUUCCGAUCCUCUCCUAUACUGGGGGAAUAAAGCUUCCAGUCCUCCUAUACUGGGGAAUAAAGGUUCAGGUCCUCUCCUAUACUGGGGGAAUAAAGGUUCAGGUCCUCUCCUAUACUGGGGGAAUAAAGCUUCCGGUCCUCCUAUACUGGGGAAUAAAGGUUCAGGUCCUCUCCUAUACUGGGGAAUAAAGGUUCAGGUCCUCUCCUAUACUGGGGGAAUAAAGGUUCAGGUCCUCUCCUAUACUGGGGGAAUAAAGGUUCAGGUCCUCUCCUAUACUGGGGGAAUAAAGGUUCAGGUCCUCUCCUAUACUGGGGGAAUAAAGGUUCCGAUCCUCUCCUAUACUGGGGGAAUAAAGGCUCCGGUCCUCUCCUAUACUGGGGGAAUAAAGCUUCCAGUCCUCUCCUAUACUGGGGGAAUAAAGCUUCCGGUCCUCCUAUACUGGGGAAUAAAGGUUCAGGUCCUCUCCUAUACUGGGGGAAUAAAGGUUCCGAUCCUCUCCUAUACUGGGGAAUAAAGGUUCAGGUCCUCUCCUAUACUGGGGGAAUAAAGCUUCCGGUCCUCUCCUAUACUGGGGGAAAUAAAGGCUCGGGUCCUCUCCUAUACUAGGGGAAUAAAGGUUCUGAUCCUCUCCUAUACUGGAUGAAUAAAGGUUCCGAUCCUUUCCUAUACUAGGGGAAUAAAGGUUCUGAUCCUCUCCUAUACUGGGGGAAUAAAGGUUCAGGUCCUCUCCUAUACUGGGUGAAUACAGGUUCUGAUCCUUUCCUAUACUGGGUGAAUACAGGUUCUGAUCCUUUCCUAUACUGGGGGAAUAAAGGUUCCGGUCCUCUCCUAUACUGGGGGAAUAAAGGUUCAGGUUCUCUCCUAUACUGGGGGAAUAAAGGUUCAGGUCCUCUCCUAUACUGGGGGAAUAAAGGUUCCGGUAUUCUCCUAUACUGGGAAACUAUACUUUCUUAUACUGGGGAACAAAAAUUUCCAAUACUCCAUGUGCAGCUAGGAUUUGUCACAACAAUUUAAUUUGAAUUAUCAUAAUUAUUAUUUUCUUUUUAAAACAAAAAUCUGAAGAACACUAUGCAAUCAUUGGGACAGAGCUAAGAAAAUGCAUCUGAAAUAUUGUGAAAUAUUUAUGUAUUACAAUAAAUGUACCUUACUAGAUCAAGCUUUCCAUAUAUGUUUAAUUCCUUGUUUUAUUAAAUCCCAUUUUACUAAAGGCAUGACAGUGGAUCCAGCCUGUAACUCUAAUCCAAGUUCUAAUCAUCAAAUACAUCCUAUUUUAUACAGCAUCAAGGUCUAUUAUUAGAUUUAUUAGAUUUAUUUGUGAUUGCCGAUUCAUCGAUAGUCACAUAAAAUACAAUUUGUUGGGGUUUGUCUGCUAAACACUGAUCUGUAGGAGAUUAACAACCAAAUUACAUAAUUUGGGCUAAAAUAGUUGAUUUCGAAAAAUUCCCCGUCUCAGCUUGGCUAAUUGUAAUUAUAUUCUAGAAAUUCAUUUUUUCCAUUCGCUGUAAAUUGCUGUUUAGUGAAUUCGACUCCAUGUUGUGUUCCCUAUUCUGCAGCUUCAUGGCUCUCCUUUCUCUGAGCGCGUUGGUGCAGCUCGCUAACAUGAAUACCAUAAUUGCUGCCUGCUUCAAUCUGUGCGAGUCUAGACUGCGAGAAGAGCUUCAGCCAUGGAGGAUAGUGUGUUAUAGCAGGUCGACUUGUGUCCUGAGUGUGUCCCUCCCAACACCUAACAUUCUAAGGCGAAAAGCAGAAUAAAUGGGGGAACCAACAAGCAUUUAUCAUCUAAGAAUGAUGUAGAUAGUGUAUAAAGCAGAGCAUUGCACCCCUCCCCUCCCCCUUCUCAUUGCUGAGUUCAUCGAGGACAGCACUGCGUUCAAUAUUUCCCGAAGCAGAAACGCUCCAAGCAGCUCACAAACCUGUUGGCAUUUAACAAAAGCACGAGAAAGCAGGAUCUCUAUUUAGAAAUCCUUUGUGAACCUUUCUUGGCUAAAACCCUGGUUUUUAAAUCUUUGAUUUUUUUUUUUUUUUUAUGGUUCCUGAUUGUUUCACAGUUUAAUUUUUAUUUAUCAUGAGAUGUUUUUUUCUGCAAUGUAUUUCUUCCGUUUAACAGUAUUUAAUAGAAAUCUUAUAUUACGUACUUACUAUUGAUCACACUAAAACAAACCAGUUAGGCCCUCCUACUAAAGUAUGCGAUUACCCCACCGGUAAUCACUGGUGUCCAGUUAAAUUGUAUAUAUAUAAUACAUAUUACAUAUAUUGUUCAACACUAGACGGUCUUAACCCAAAUAUGCCAUUACUCCUUUUACAUGGCAAACCUCUGACCACUACUAAAUUCAUAUUAGACAUCAGAACACUUUUCAUUAGACUCGGUCUUGACCCCUCUGCCUUUUCUGACCACACCUUCAGAAUUGGGGCCGCUUCCGCGGCAUCAAGCCACAAGGUCACUGCUCAUAUAAUUAAGAGGUUAGGACGCUGGAAAUCAGCAGCAUAUACCAGUUAUAUACCACAGCCAGAACAGGAAUUGAGAUUAGCAUUUAAAGGCUUAGUUUUUUAACAUUAUUAUUAUUAUUUUAUUAUUACAUGUAUGUAAUAAAGGUUAUUUGUAUACAUCAACUUUUAGCCCUCUUUUAUUACAGGCCUACCCCAUACGUCGGUUACGGCACACCACAACCGACUGGUGCUUACUUCUAAUUAUAUUAUUAUUGGAAUUCCUUAUUAUAAUGGCUUAUAUCCCAGACUACAAAUACAUAAAUAUAUAUCGUGUGUAUUAUGGGAAAAUAUUGCUAGCGAUCUCGUACCCCAUGUGAGCAAAGAUUGCGCCUAAAUCCCUCCAAGAUGUCAUUAUUUUCAGUAAAACCACAUAUAUAUAUAAUCUCUAUCACAUCAUGGUCUACCUGAGAAUUCGCACAGAUCCUCUGUAAAGUCUGCGGCUUCUGCCUCUGGCAAAACCAGCACAUACUGUCUUACUCUGCCCAAUAUUAGUGAGAGUUGCUCCUGAGCAGCAUUUGUAAUGACUGAAAUAGUCCUGGGCUUACAACUGCCACAAAUCUUAGACAGCACUGGGGCUACAGUACCCUUAAUCAUUAACUCCUGUUCUAUCACACUACAAUAAAUACCCCAACUACACUACACUACACUAUAAUCAUUAACCCCUACACUACCAUUAUACUAUAGCCAAUCAUUAACCCCUACACUACAACUAUACUAUAGCCAAUCAUUUAAUGGGCCAAGCCGUGUACUGCAAAAUAUACAGAAUAUAAAUUUAAUGUAAAUAUAUUUAUAUAAUGUAAAUAUUCUGUAUCUUUUUUGCAGUACCAUAAUAGGCGUCUUUUCCCAUCAUUUGGUUCAUAGAUCAAGUCAGAAGACUAAUAACAAAGGAGCUGUAAAAAUGUAAAUCUAUGCUCUCCUCUGCUCCCAACAUGGCGGAUAAAUCUAGGAAAGAAAACCCAAUGCGCAAACUGAGGAUCCGCAAGCUGUGCCUGAACAUCUGUGUUGGUGAGAGCGGUGACAGACUGACCCGGGCAGCCAAAGUGCAGCUCGCCAGUCAGACUCCUGUUUUCUCCUAAGUAUGUUACACUGUCAGAUCCUUUGGUAUCAGGAGGUAUGAAAAGAUUGCUGUUUAUUGCACAGUGCGAGGAGCCAAAGUUGAGUAGGUCAGAGAAUACGAAUUGAGGAAAAAUAACUUUUCUGACACCAGGAACUUUGGGUUUGGAAUCCAGUAGCACAUUGAUCUGGGAAUUCAAUAUGACCCAAUCAUUGGAAUCUAUGGUUUGGACUUCUAUGUGGUCUUGGGCCGGCCUGGUUCCAGCAUUGCUGAUAAGAAGUGGCUUCAUUGGCACAAAGCACAGAAUUGGGAAAGAGGAGGCAAUGCUUUGGUUACAGCAAAAGCACGGUGGAAUCAUACUCUCUGGAAAGUGAGUUGCUUCUGUCUUCAAAACUCAAUACAAAUUUCUGAUAAAAAAAAAAGUAAAUCUAUAGUUUAUAAUUAUGAAAUUUGUUUAUUUUUUAUUAUUCCUUUUUUCCCUCUGUUGAUCACUUCUCACCUGAUUUGGGAAUAAAAUCACCAUUUAGUAGCUGUUCCCUAACCAUCAGUCAUCUUUUUUGAAACAUGAACAGAACUCUAAAUCAUGAAUCACACAAAACUGUUAGUGUAUUGUCUGGUUUUUUGUUUUGUUUUGUGAUUUGCCCACAUAGCGUUUUGGAUUUAUGGAAUUCAGAAGUAUCACCGGUAUCAC
rnacentral:lncRNA from 1 species